AGCUCCAAUAGCGUAUAUUAAAGUUGUUGCAGUUAAAAAGCUCGUAGUUGAAGUUCUGAUUGUUCGGGUUUCUAGACAUUAGUCGGAGAUACUGACAGUCAUCCGCUUGCAAGCAUAUGUUUGCCUUUAACCGGGUAGCUAUGUGAGUAAGCAAUUUACCUUGAGAAAAACAGAGUGUUCCAGGCAGGUUUGUCCGGGAUGCAUUAGCAUGGAAUAAUAGAACAUGACUGAAGUCUAUUUAUUGGUUUAAGGCUUUAGUAAUGAUUAAUAGGAACAGUCGGGGGCAUUCGUACUCAGCAGUCAGAGGUGAAAUUCUAAGAUUUGCUGAAGACGAACUAAUGCGAAAGCAUUUGCCAAGGAUGUUUUCA
rnacentral:rRNA from 1 species